CAUAUGUUAACUGAUAUCUUUUACAAUUGGUGAAAGCGCGCGGAACAAAAGAGGAAAAUAAAUGCUAUUGUUUUUCUGAAAAUUGCACAAAGCGUUGGGCGAUAAGGGAACAUAAGUAUAUAUUAUAAGCUCGGAGUGCUUUAGAGACAGUUCUUCUAUCUUUAGCAGGCACUAUUAGGGAUCGUUUAAACAGGUGCGAAAUAGGUGAGAGCCUCGAAAAGUUCGUCCUUUUUUACCUGUAUGGGUCUAUGUAUCUUUGUUUAAUUUUAUGUUAAAAUUGCGUUUUAAAAUGAAAAUUUUAGUUUUUAUUUCAGUAACUGUUACCUGCCACAUUUCGUUCGUUGAGAUGGCUCACUUUCCGCUGCAUGCUGCUCUCCCAUACAAAUUUGUGUUGCCAACGGUAAAUGUAAGUGAGAACGGAUUUAAGCCACAUUGCUGCAAAGAAAAUUCCCAUGUUGCGGGAGUUCCCCAAAAGGAAAAUUGAAAAAACAUUCGGAUGGGAGUUUCGAUACCCUAUAUUAUUUAAUAUACCAUUAAAAUGUAAUAUAGUAGAAUGUAAAACGAUAUCAAAUCCGAAGUUUAUAUAAAAUACAGCAAAUAUUGCGGCUGUCUAGUAUGGUGUCCCGAUCUUUCCGAUUCGUUGAGAGAGUAGGAAAUAUAAAUUGCAUUUGUCAC
rnacentral:lncRNA from 1 species